rnacentral:misc_RNA from 1 species
GGGUGGAUCAACACGUAUUCCUGCUGUUCAGGAACUCGUGAAGAAGAUGACUGGGAAGGAACCAAAUGUCACUGUCAAUCCUGAUGAAGUUGUUGCGCUAGGUGCUGCUGUUCAGGCUGGUGUUUUGGCUGGUGACGUCAGUGACAUUGUGCUAUUGGAUGUGAGUCCGUUAUCUUUGGGUCUUGAGACUCUUGGGGGUGUAAUGACAAAAAUUAUCCCCAGAAACACUACACUUCCUACCUCCAAGUCAGAGGUCUUCUCCACAGCCGCUGAUGGUCAAACAAGCGUGGAGAUUAAUGUUCUUCAAGGAGAACGAGAAUUUGUGAGGGACAACAAAUCACUCGGUAGCUUCCGAUUAGACGGUAUCCCCCCUGCACCACGUGGGGUGCCUCAGAUUGAAGUCAAAUUUGACAUAGAUGCCAAUGGAAUCCUCUCGGUUACUGCAAUCGACAAAGGCA